UACGUAGGUGGCAAGCGUUGUCCGGAUUUAUUGGGUUUAAAGGGUGCGUAGGCGGCCCUGUAAGUCAGUGCUGAAAUCUCCCGGCUCAACUGGGAGGGUGCGCCGAAUACUGAAUGACUAGAGUGCGGGAGAGGAAAGUGGAAUUCCUGGUGUAGCGGUGAAAUGCGUAGAUAUCAGGAGGAACACCUGUGGCGAAAGCGGCUCACUGGACCACAACUGACGCUGAGGCGCGAAAGCUAGGGGAGCAAACAGG
rnacentral:rRNA from 1 species